CCAGGCUGCCCAGAGACAAAGUUUAACGGCCGCGGUACCCUAACCGUGCGAAGGUAGCAUAAUCACUUGUUCUUUAAAUAGGGACUCGUAUCAACGGCAUCACGAGGGCUAUACUGUCUCCUUUCUCCAAUCAGUGAAGCUGAUCUUCCCGUGAAGAAGCGGGAAUUAUUGUAUAAGACGAGAAGACCCCAUGGAGCUUUAAACUCAAUAUAUACCUCUACGCAUUUAUAUCACUAUAGCCUAAGAAAAUUAUAUAUUAGUUUUGGGUUGGGGGGACCGCGGAGAAAAAAUUAACCUCCACGACAAAUAGGCCAACGCCUUUAUCUAUGAACCACAAUUCUAAGAAUCAAUAAACUGAUGUUUAAUGAUCCAAUUUUUUGAUCAACGAACCAAGUUACCCUGGGGAUAACAGCGCAAUCUACUUCAAGAGCUCCUAUCGACAAGUGGGUUUACGACCUCGAUGUUGGAUCAGGGUAUCCUAGUGGUGCAGCCGCUACUAAAGGUUCGUUUGUUCAACGAUUAAAACCCUACGUGAUCU
rnacentral:rRNA from 1 species